UUGCAGUUUUAGGAAUGCUUGAUAGAGAUCCUGCAGAUGUUUGUCUCUGUCUGAGAGACUGGAGCAAACACGGUUGUAUCUUAAAGCUUGGCUGUAGACAAUGGAUCGUGUGAUGUGGUCUGGAUGAAAGCUGGAGGCAUGUAGGUAAGUAUAGUGGUCAGUAGGUUUCCGGUAUAGGGUGGUGUUUAUGUGACCAUCA